CUGACUGUAAAGUGUGCAUCAAAAGUUCUGAGUUUUUUUUCCACUCUGUUAAAGCACUUUGUAUCUAGUAAGUGCUAUAGAAAUAAUAAGGUAACUACACUUUAGCAUACUGAGCUCCAAAGUGGUUUCCCUAGUGUGCUAGUGCUAACGUUUCUGUUGCAAGUGUUACUGCUGCCAUUUUUUUUAACAUGUGUGAGCCUAUAAGACAAACCUUUGGAGGGGAUACAAAAAGGGUUUAAGUGUCUGAAGCUCUUGCUUCAUAUUCCUGAAGUGAUGUUUAACAGUCUUUGUCAAUACCAAAACUUACACAUAUCUUUAUUUUUAGCUUCUCUGGAAACUGCUUUUCAUCACUUGUUUUGAGUAUGAAGCUGUGUCUAUAAAACAAGAUGGGUCAAAAAAACCAAACUACGAAGACCUCAYCAAUGCAAAAUAGUGCUCAUCAGACAAACAGUGCACUUUCUGCUCAGAAGAAUCCCAGGGAAAAGAAAGGACUUACUUGAAAAUACAAACGCAAGAAAGUCAAAAAGAGACAAGGAGGCCUUGCAAAAAAGGAUUGUGGAACUGGAAGUUGAGCUGAAAAAAUAUGCGGAACAUAACAAGCUACCUCAAGGCCGAGAGAAUGAAUUCAUCUGUGUUUUUAAGGGGUUUUACUUUGGGAACAGCCACCCAGGUGGCUGGGAUGCAUCUUUUGGAUAAUUUGAAACAAAAGGAAUCCAAUUCGUGUGUUUCAAGACUGCUCAGUAAUAUGAACCACAAUGAAAGACUCAGGCACAACUGGAAGAUUUGCAUCAGACGUGCACUCCUGAUCCAAACUGAGAUGCUGAUGUAGAGGUACUCUUUAAUUGUUUUCACCUCUUCUAUAUGUUUUGAAACUUGAAG
rnacentral:lncRNA from 1 species